UCCCACCUGACCCCAUGCCGAACUCAGAAGUGAAACGCCGUAGCGCCGAUGGUAGUGUGGGGUCUCCCCAUGUGAGAGUAGGGAACCGCCAGGU
rnacentral:rRNA from 3 species